UAGAGUCUUGUCCUGGCUGGGUUAGAGUCUUGUCCUGGCUGGGUUAGAGUCUUGUCCUGGCUGGGUUAGAGUCUUGUCCUGGCUGGGUUAGAGUAUUGUCCUGGCUGGGUUACAGACUUGUCCUGACUGGGUUAAAGUAUUGUCCUGGCUGGGUUAGAGUCUUGUCCUGGCUGGGUUAGUCUUGUCCUGGCUGGGUUAGAGUAUUGUACUGGCUGGGUUAGAGUAUUGUCCUGGCUGGAUUCGAGUCUUGUCCUGGCUGGGUUAGAGUAUUGUCCUGGCUGGGUUAGAGUCUUGUCCUGGCUGGGUUAGAGUCUUGUCCUGGCUGGGUUAGAGUCUUGGCUGGGUUAGAGUCUUGUCCUGGCUGGGUUAGAGUCUUGGCUGGGUUAGAGUCUUGGCUGGGUUAGAGUCUUGGAGUCUUGUCCUGGCUGGGUUAGAGUCUUGUCCUGGCUGGGUUAGAGUCUUGGCUGGGUUAGAGUUUUGGCUGGGUUAGAGUCUUGUCCUGGCUGGGUUAGAGUAUUGUCCUGGCUGGGUUAGAGUCUUGUCCUGGCUGGGUUAGAGUCUUGUCCUGGCUGGGUUAGAGUCUUGGCUGGGUUAGAGUCUUGUCCUGGCUGGGUUAGAGUCUUGUCCUGGCUGGGUUAGAGUCUUGUCCUGGCUGGGUUAGAGUCUUGGCUGGGUUAGAGUUUUGGAGCUGUGUAGAGGAAAGCAUUGUUAUUUUUGCUUUUUUUUUUUUUACAGUACACCCAAAAAAAGGAAUGCAGGCAAUGAACGUCUUAUCCAUGCAACUGUAGCUACUGCAGGCCUAAGAAGUCUCAUGACAUUAUCAUGAAGGUCAUCUCUGUGUUAUCAGACGGAUAGACCAUAUGUUUGAUAUCAAUUAAUGAUUAAUGACAGGUAAUGGUUGAUGAAAACGGAGAAAGCAACAAGUGAUUGUAUCUUAUUGAUUCGGAUGAAUACUUCAACUAAAUGUCUUCGGGAUGGAAUGUGGGUAGAUAUUCUCAAUGAAGAGAGGGAUGGAAAAUGAAAGGAUUGGGAUUAUUUCCAUUAAUUCUACAGCCUAUUGAAAGAGAAUGCUAUUGCAAG
ensembl:lncRNA